GCGGCGAACGGGUGAGUAACACGUGGGCAACCUACCCAGAAGACCGGGAUAACGGCUCGAAAGGGCCGCUAAUACCGGAUAAUGUCGGGGUACCGCAUGGUACUCCGAAGAAAGGGGAAACCCGCUUUUGGAUGGGCCCGCGUCCCAUCAGCUAGUUGGUGAGGUAACGGCUCACCAAGGCGACGACGGGUAGCCGGUCUGAGAGGAUGGUCGGCCACACUGGGACUGAGACACGGCCCAGACUCCUACGGGAGGCAGCAGUUGGGAAUCUUGGGCAAUGGGCGAAAGCCUGACCCAGCGACGCCGCGUGAGGGAAGGAGGCCUUCGGGUCGUAAACCUCUGUCAUGGGGGAAGAAGCAAGUGACGGUACCCCAAGAGGAAGCCCCUGCUAACUACGUGCCAGCAGCCGCGGUAAUACGUAGGGGGCGAGCGUUGUCCGGAUUUACUGGGCGUAAAGGGCGAGUAGGCGGUCUGUUAAGUCAGGUGUGAAAUUCCAGG
rnacentral:rRNA from 1 species